CCUGGCGGCCUUAGCGCGGUGGUCCCACCUGACCCCAUGCCGAACUCAGAAGUGAAACGCCGUAGCGCCGAUGGUAGUGUGGGGUCUCCCCAUG
rnacentral:rRNA from 2 species